CCUACGGGUGGCAGCAGUAGGGAAUCUUUCACAAUGGGCGAAAGCCUGAUGGAGCAACGCCGCGUGCAGGAUGAAGGCCCUCGGGUUGUAAACUGCUUUUAUAAGCGAGAAAUAUGAUGGUAACUUAUGAAUAAGGAUUGUCUAACAACGUGCCAGCAGCCGUGGUCAUACGUAGGCACCGAGCAUUAUCCGGAGUGACUGGGUGUAAAGAGUUGCGUAGGUGGGAUAAUAAGUAGCUAGUGAAAUCUGGUGGCUCAACCAUUCAGACUACUAGCUAAACUGUUAAGCUCGAGACCGUUAGGGGUAAGUGGAAUUUCUAGUGUAGGAGUGAAAUGCGUAGAUAUUAGAAGGAACACCAAUAGCGUAGGCAGGUUACUGGGACGGUUCUGACACUGAGGCACGAAAGCGUAGGGAGCAAACGGGAUUAGAUACCCCAGUAGUC
rnacentral:rRNA from 1 species